rnacentral:lncRNA from 1 species
AGUGGCUCCUGCAGAAAGUGUGCAGACUCAUCUGGAAAAGGGCAGGCCUCUUAGCAGAGCUAAUGUGUAUAAAGUGUUUACCAUGUGCCACGCUGGUGCUAAAUGCUUCAUGCAUGCUCAUUACUUCAUCUGAUCUCCUAUCAGGUGGAAAUGACUAAGCAAAAAGCAGACACAAGGUUCAUGUGGCUGGUAAGUGCAGAGCAGGGAUUUGAACCCAGGAACCCUCAGCCAGAUUCUGAAUCAUAAAGCUAUAAACCCCUGGACAGCAGUCACAUGCAAAGGCAGUUAAGACAGAAGGCAUUUAGGUAGGAAGCUGCCCCCAGACCAUGCACCAGACUCUAGCUGCUCGAAACUCUCGUCUGUUGGUAGUUCAGAGCUCUGUACUGGAAGAAGGCUGUGAAAAUGGACUUGCCCAUGACCUUCCAGGUUGUGGCUUUCUAUUAUCCUGAGGCCCCUGACAUGAGAUUGGCCCACCCAUCACACUCAACAGCAG